AGAGUUUGAUCCUGGCUCAGGACGAACGCUGGCGGCGUGCUUAACACAUGCAAGUCGAACGGAAAGGCCCUUCGGGGUACUCGAGUGGCGAACGGGUGAGUAACACGUGGGUGAUCUGCCCUGCACUUUGGGAUAAGCCUGGGAAACUGGGUCUAAUACCGAAUAUGACCAUGCGCCUCCUGGUGUGUGGUGGAAAGCUUUUGCGGUGUGGGAUGGGCCCGCGGCCUAUCAGCUUGUUGGUGGGGUAAUGGCCUACCAAGGCGACGACGGGUAGCCGGCCUGAGAGGGUGACCGGCCACACUGGGACUGAGAUACGGCCCAGACUCCUACGGGAGGCAGCAGUGGGGAAUAUUGCACAAUGGGCGCAAGCCUGAUGCAGCGACGCCGCGUGAGGGAUGACGGCCUUCGGGUUGUAAACCUCUUUCAGCACAGACGAAGCGCAAGUGACGGUAUGUGCAGAAGAAGGACCGGCCAACUACGUGCCAGCAGCCGCGGUAAUACGUAGGGUCCGAGCGUUGUCCGGAAUUACUGGGCGUAAAGAGCUCGUAGGUGGUUUGUCGCGUUGUUCGUGAAAUCUCACGGCUUAACUGUGAGCGUGCGGGCGAUACGGGCAGACUUGAGUACUGCAGGGGAGACUGGAAUUCCUGGUGUAGCGGUGAAAUGCGUAGA
rnacentral:rRNA from 1 species